rnacentral:sRNA from 1 species
GUUUUUAUACUACAGCAAUUUUCCUCUACAAAUAGAGCAUAAUUAUAUUCAGAGUUUAUGUUUCACACUGAAUUUGUGGUAUUGAAUGUCACAUUUUUAUAGUACAAAGUAUUUUUAUACAGCACAUAAAUGUCAAGAAGUAAAAUCUUGAUGGCAUUUUAAAUAUAUUUGGAAAAAUUACUGUUUUUAGAGGUGUAUGUCUUUUUUUAACGAAAAAAAAAACAAGACAUGUUUUUGAAAUGAAAAAAAGAGAUUUCAUAAUAUGUGAUUUAAAGAACUGGUGAUUCUAGUAAUAAUUCAGUGGAAGUAUGUAUAUUUGUUCUUGUUUUAGGAAAUAUUGAGCUUCAAUGUAUCAAAUGGCAAUUACGAAGAUUUUUUUCUUUUGUUUAAUCUAGCACCAAAGACAAUUUAUUCAGUGUAUGUUAUGCUUUUUGUACUAUUUGCAUGGAAACCUGAUGUUUUUUGUAUUGAAAGAGUGAGUGAAUGUUUCAUUCUGCAGCAUCACAGCAAACAACAUAUUUUAUAAACAAACAGUGUAUAUUUAUUUCAUAGGCAAGAGAAGAAAGACAUUCCAUUUAUAUAGCAAUGCAAUAUUUUGAUGGAAUAAAGUAUACUUUUACCCC